GGAUGAACGCUAGCGGCAGGCUUAACACAUGCAAGUCGAGGGGUAACAGGGAAGCUUGCUUCCGCUGACGACCGGCGCACGGGUGCGUAACGCGUAUGCAACCUACCUUUUACUGGAGGAUAGCCCGAAGAAAUUCGGAUUAAUACUCCAUAAUAUUAUGAUUCACAUGAUUUGAUAAUUAAAGUUCCGGCGGUAAGAGAUGGGCAUGCGUGACAUUAGCUAGUUGGUGAGGUAACGGCUCACCAAGGCAACGAUGUCUAGGGGUUCUAAAAGGAUGAUCCCCCACACUGGUACUGAGACACGGACCAGACUCCUACGGGAGGCAGCAGUGAGGAAUAUUGCGCAAUGGAGGAAACUCUGACGCAGCCAUGCCCGUGAAGGAAUGAAGGCCCUACGGGUUGUAAACUUCUUUUAUAUGGGAAGAAACUUUUCUACGUGUAGAAAACUGACGGUACCAUACGAAUAAGGACCGGCUAACUCCGUGCCAGCAGCCGCGGUAAUACGGAGGGUCCAAGCGUUAUCCGGAUUCAUUGGGUUUAAAGGGUACGUAGGCGGAUAGAUAAGUUAGUGGUGAAAUCCCGAAGCUCAACUUCGGAACUGCCAUUAAAACUGUUUAUCUUGAAUUUGGUUGAAGUGGGCGGAAUAUGACAUGUAGCGGUGAAAUGCAUAGAUAUGUCAUGGAACACCAAUAGUGAAGACAGUUUACUAGGUAUAUACUGACGCUAAUGGACGAAAGCGUGGGGAGCGACCAGGAUUAGAUACCCUGGUAGUCCACGCCGUAAACGAUGAUCACUCGAUAUUGGCUAUACUGUCAGUGUCUAAGCGAAAGUGAUAAGUAAUCCACCUGGGGAGUACGGUCGCAAGAUUGAAACUCAAAGGAAUUGACGGGGGCCCGCACAAGCGGUGGAGCAUGUGGUUUAAUUCGAUUAUACGCGAGGAACCUUACCAGGGCUUAAAUGUAGAUUGACAGUUUUGGAAACAAAAUUUUCUUCGGACAAUUUACAAGGUGCUGCAUGGCUGUCGUCAGCUCGUGCCGUGAGGUGUUGGGUUAAGUCCCGCAACGAGCGCAACCCCUACCAUUAGUUGCCAGCAUUUCGGAUGGGGACUCUAAUGGAACUGCCGGCGUAAGCCGCGAGGAAGGUGGGGACGACGUCAAGUCAUCACGGCCCUUACGUCCUGGGCCACACACGUGCUACAAUGGUUGGUACAGAGGGCAGCUACCUAGCGAUAGGAUGCGAAUCUCCAAAGCCAAUCUCAGUUCGGAUUGGAGUCUGCAACUCGACUCCAUGAAGCUGGAAUCGCUAGUAAUCGGAUAUCAGCCAUGAUCCGGUGAAUACGUUCCCGGGCCUUGUACACACCGC
rnacentral:rRNA from 1 species